rnacentral:misc_RNA from 1 species
GAUGAAGAACGUAGCGAAAUGCGUUAAGUAAUGUGAAUUGCAGAAUUCAGUGAAUCAUCGAAUCUUUGAACGCACAUUGCGCCCGCCAGUAUUCUGGCGGGCAUGCCUGUUCGAGCGUCAUUACAACCCUCAGGCCCCCGGGCCUGGCGUUGGGGAUCGGCGGAGCCCCCCGUGGGCACACGCCGUCCCCCAAAUGCAGUGGCGGUCCCGCCGCAGCUUCCAUCGCGUAGUAGCUAACACCUCGCGACUGGAGAGCGGCGCGGCCACGCCGUAAAACACCCAACUCUUCUGAAGUUGACCUCGAAUCAGGUAGGAAUACCCGCUGAACUUAAGCAUAUCAAUAAGGGAGGA